UACGUAGGGUGCGAGCGUUGUCCGGAAUUAUUGGGCGUAAAGAGCUCGUAGGCGGUCUGUCGCGUCGGUCGUGAAAACUUGGGGCUUAACCCUGAGCUUGCGGUCGAUACGGGCAUGACUGGAGUUCGGCAGGGGAGACUGGAAUUCCUGGUGUAGCGGUGAAAUGCGCAGAUAUCAGGAGGAACACCGGUGGCGAAGGCGGUUCUCUGGGAAUGUCCUGACGCUGAGGAGCGAAAGUGUGGGGAGCGAACAGG
rnacentral:rRNA from 1 species